rnacentral:tRNA from 1 species
AUGGUCGUGUGGCCCAAUGGCAAGGCGCUUGACUACGAAUCAAGAGAUUCCAGGUUCGAGUGAGUCAUAUCAGUACCCGAACAUCCACA